AGAGCUGGUAGUUGCCAGAUG
rnacentral:siRNA from 1 species